UCCAUCGUCAUCAUGACUAAUGUUGAAACUAUGGAGCUAAUUCAACUGUGAGCUUGACACCACAGCUGAUUGUCCUGUCCAGGUGGAGGGCCUCACAGGCGGGCAAGACAGCAGAGGCACUGCGGAGAUCCUAGGAUUUAUGACCUCCAGAAACAACAUGAUGUACACAUGAGACGCAUUCUGGCCCUUCGUCCCCUCCCAGUGGACCUGCAAGAGGAUGACUGAUGAUUUCUUCAAGAUCCGCAAUCCUGGAACAAACAUGGUGGAGUACCUCCAUGAGGCCAAGGCAUGCAAACCAUACCCCCACAUCCUGACGCUGGGAAAUGAUCAGAGUGCAUUUGUUUUUCACUAUAGACCUGUUGACUGUUGGCCUGUUGAAUGUUCAGCCAGUUCAUUCGUAAUUGUUGUUUUGCUCUAAUUGUUUUCCUACCUGAGUGAUAUGAACUGCACCAGUUCCACUAUAUUGUUGAUAUUAAUUAAUGUAAUAUAAUAAAUUUUUCAAAGAUUCCA